ACGAGUUAGGGUCCUCUAGGCCCGACCUCCCAAACCCUUUGCUUACCGAACCUCUGUUGCUUCGGCGGGCCCGUCUCACGACCGCCGGAGGACCGCCGCAGGGCGUGUCCUCUAGCCCGUGUCCGCCGAUAGCCAACUACAAAACUCUGUAUAAAUCAUGUCUCAUGUCUAAGUCAAAUUGAAAUUAAAAGCA
rnacentral:misc_RNA from 1 species